UUUAUGGAGAGUUUGAUCCUGGCUCAGGACGAACGCUGGCGGCGUGCCUAAUACAUGCAAGUCGAGCGGAUCGAUGGGAGCUUGCUCCCUGAGGUCAGCGGCGGACGGGUGAGUAACACGUGGGUAACCUGCCUGUAAGACUGGGAUAACUCCGGGAAACCGGGGCUAAUACCGGAUAACACCUACCCCCGCAUG
rnacentral:rRNA from 1 species